UUCAUUCAUUCUGAUUCUCUGCGGCCGCAGAGCACGUGUUGACUGAGGGGUCGCGACAGUCUACCCCUCCACCCUCUAAAGCGAUGAUAUGAUGCGUCAGGUGUAUAUGGUUGCUCGAGAACUUGUGACAGGUGUUUCGGUGGGAAAAGAACUUUAGGGUAUAUAAGAAACGAGACGGACUAACAUUUUCCAUGAAGAAAUUCGGGGAUCGACAUGAUGGCUCAUGGUAAGAAAACUUGUUGAAAUUAUAAGGUAUUUCUUUUCUCUUAAAAACAUUGUUUAAAUAAACACUUUAUGUAUUCUCAGCUUUAAAAGUUCAAGCUGAAAUUCACCAGGUGCCUGAGUAUCAGGUUACAGCGGAAGAACUAGAGGGUAUUAGCCUCACUCAGACAGACCCAGAUUUUACACGGGGAAUUAAUCCUAAUGAUUUUGCGAGAGGAUCGGGAAGCGACAGUCUCGCGGACGAUUUGGAUUUGAUUCUAACAGGGGCCUCGCCAGCGAUCUCGCGAGAUCGUCGCGUUCCCUCCUCUCCUCCGAGAAGCGGAAAUGGCGUAAUAGAAAUAUCAACAACUCCGAGACCGGCGAGGCCACAACUCGCGAGCGUGACACCAGUAUUAAAAGCCUGUGAUGCGCCUCAGCGAGCGAAGAGACGGAGAUUAGUCAGUAAGACAGCGUCUCUAGUGAAGCGAUUAUUUACAGAUUCAGUCGAAUCACCCGCGUGUUCAACCAGGGAAGGGGGUCAUGGAUCUCAAAGCGUGAUUAACGAGACCGAAGCGGAGACCGCAUCGGAUAACGGCCCAGAACCGAAUCAGGAAGCAGAGCGAAGUCGGAGAGAGCGCCAGAGUCCCACUAGACCUCUGUUUAAGCGCAGGUUUCCUCAGAGAGGGGCUAAC